GAUGAACGCUAGCGGCAGGCUUAAUACAUGCAAGUCGAGGGGCAGCAUGAUUGUAGCAAUACAAUUGAUGGCGACCGGCAAACGGGUGCGGAACACGUACACAACCUUCCAACAAGUGGGGGAUAGCCCAGAGAAAUUUGGAUUAAUACCCCGUAACAUAGCGAUGUGGCAUCACAUUGCUAUUAUAGAUUUUUCGCUUGUUGAUGGGUGUGCGGCUGAUUAGAUAGUUGGCGGGGUAACGGCCCACCAAGUCUACGAUCAGGAGCUGAUGUGAGAGCAUGAUCAGCCACACGGGAACUGAGACACGGGCCCGACUCCUACGGGAGGCAGCAGUAAGGAAUAUUGGACAAUGGACGCAAGUCUGAUCCAGCCAUGCCGCGUGAAGGAUUAAGGUCCUCUGGAUUGUAAACUUCUUUUAUAAGGGUCGAAAAAAGGCUUUUCUAAGUCGUCUGACGGUACCUUAUGAAUAAGCACCGGCUAACUCCGUGCCAGCCGCCGCCGUAACAC
rnacentral:rRNA from 1 species